ACCAAACUUUGCAUCAUGUUCUGGGCUCCCAUUCUCAGCCUUUUAGUCAUGUGGUGCACAGGUUUGAACUGCCAGGACGUGAUAUCUCAGCCACCCUCAGCAUCCGUUUCACCAGGGAACACAGCGAAGCUCUCCUGUGUCAUGCGCAGUGGGCUCAGCAUCAGUGGCUAUGCUGUACGCUGGUUCCAGCAGAAGCCUGGGAAUCCCCCCAGAUUCCUCUUAUGGUAUCACUCAGAUUCCAGCAAGCACCAGGGCUCUGGGGUCCCCUCUCGAUUCUCUGGUUCCAAAGACACCUCCAGCAACACCUGCUAUUUAAACAUCGCUGGAGCUCUGGCCGAAGAUGAGGCUGAUUAUUACUGUGCAGUGUGGCACAGUGAUGCUUUUCACAGUGAUUCAUUCAGAAGGGGAAGCCAGACAAAAAUCUGUCGUAUUCCCUAAGGGGAGCUGAAUUGCGUAGCUAUG